rnacentral:rRNA from 1 species
GAGGGGCAGCAUCAUCAAAGCUUGCUUUGAUGGAUGGCGACCGGCGCACGGGUGAGUAACACGUAUCCAACCUGCCGACAACACUGGGAUAGCCUUUCGAAAGAAAGAUUAAUACCGGAUGGCAUAGUUUUCCCGCAUGGGAUAAUUAUUAAAGAAUUUCGGUUGUCGAUGGGGAUGCGUUCCAUUAGGCAGUUGGCGGGGUAACGGCCCACCAAACCGACGAUGGAUAGGGGUUCUGAGAGGAAGGUCCCCCACAUUGGAACUGAGACACGGUCCAAACUCCUACGGGAGGCAGCAGUGAGGAAUAUUGGUCAAUGGACGAGAGUCUGAACCAGCCAAGUAGCGUGAAGGAUGACUGCCCUAUGGGUUGUAAACUUCUUUUAUACGGGAAUAAAGUUAGCCACGUGUGGCUUUUUGUAUGUACCGUAUGAAUAAGGAUCGGCUAACUCCGUGCCAGCAGCCGCGGUAAUACGGAGGAUCCGAGCGUUAUCCGGAUUUAUUGGGUUUAAAGGGAGCGUAGGCGGGUUGUUAAGUCAGUUGUGAAAGUUUGCGGCUCAACCGUAAAAUUGCAGUUGAUACUGGCGACCUUGAGUGCAACAGAGGUAGGCGGAAUUCGUGGUGUAGCGGUGAAAUGCUUAGAUAUCACGAAGAACUCCGAUUGCGAAGGCAGCUUACUGGAUUGUAACUGACGCUGAUGCUCGAAAGUGUGGGUAUCAAACAGGAUUAGAUACCCUGGUAGUCCACACAGUAAACGAUGAAUACUCGCUGUUGGCGAUAUACUGUCAGCGGCCAAGCGAAAGCAUUAAGUAUUCCACCUGGGGAGUACGCCGGCAACGGUGAAACUCAAAGGAAUUGACGGGGGCCCGCACAAGCGGAGGAACAUGUGGUUUAAUUCGAUGAUACGCGAGGAACCUUACCCGGGCUUAAAUUGCAACUGACGGAACCGGAAACGGUUCUUUCUUCGGACAGUUGUGAAGGUGCUGCAUGGUUGUCGUCAGCUCGUGCCGUGAGGUGUCGGCUUAAGUGCCAUAACGAGCGCAACCCUUAUCGAUAGUUACUAGCAGGUCAUGCUGAGGACUCUAUUGAGACUGCCGUCGUAAGAUGUGAGGAAGGUGGGGAUGACGUCAAAUCAGCACGGCCCUUACGUCCGGGGCUACACACGUGUUACAAUGGGGGGUACAGAAGGCAGCUACACGGCGACGUGGUGCUAAUCCCGAAAGCCUCUCUCAGUUCGGAUUGGAGUCUGCAACCCGACUCCAUGAAGCUGGAUUCGCUAGUAAUCGCGCAUCAGCCACGGCGCGGUGAAUACGUUCCCGG